GAAUGGUGAGGGGCGAACACCUUUAGAAUAGUGUUUCAAACACUUUUUUUUGGGUUUUGGCGGGGUUAAACUGACGAACAACGAAGAAAAAACAAGAAUUCUAACAAUUUACAACAGAAUCCGUAAAAAAAUUAGAAGCUUGUCUGACCAGCGGUAGUAUAGAAGGGUUUAAACGGUGAGUAGAGUGUUUGUAUUUUUCCCCAGUGUACCUUUUGCCAGUAGACAAACAUCCCAUCCUUUCUUGUGGGCAGCGUUAUUUUGAUGAUAACUCUAUCCCACUAUUACUCCAGUUGCUUGGAUACAUCGUCGCAGCUCUGGACCAAUGUUGCAGUUGCUUCCUAAUUUUUAGAGGGUCAGUUGCCGGUACUCACGGGGCCCCAGACAUGGAUUCUGUCAAGAUUGUGGGGUAGAUGCAAGUUGAAGUCAAAAAAAUGAGAAUCAAAAACUUGAAAAUAAAAUACAUAAAAUGAUUUAUUUUAUUUUUCUUUGUAUAAUCCAUGUAAAAUUAUAGACUGUAUGCACUGAAACCUUGU